AGCGAACGCUGGCGGCAGGCCUAACACAUGCAAGUCGAACGAAGUCUUCGGACUUAGCGGCGGACGGGUGAGUAACACGUGGGAACGUGCCUUUAGGUUCGGAAUAACUCAGGGAAACUUGUGCUAAUACCGAAUGUGCCCUUCGGGGGAAAGAUUUAUCGCCUUUAGAGCGGCCCGCGUCUGAUUAGCUAGUUGGUGAGGGAAAGGCUCACCAAGGCUACGAUCAGUAGCUGGUCUGAGAGGAUGACCAGCCACAUUGGGACUGAGACACGGCCUAAACUCCUACGUGAGGCAGCAGUGGGGAAUCUUGCGCAAUGGGCGAAAGCCUGAUGCAGCCAUGCCGCGUGGAUGAUGAAGGUCUUAGGAUUGUAAAAUCCUUUCACCGGUGAAGAUAAUGACUGUAGCCGGAGAAGAAGCCCCGGCUAACUUCGUGCCAGCCGCCGCAGUAAGAC
rnacentral:rRNA from 1 species